AGUUUUUAACUUGGGGAUGGUGCUUUCAUUACUUUCUUUUGUUACUUGCAUUAAGCCUUUCAACAACCCUGUCUGGUUGGGCUUUUUAUCCCUAUUUUAGAGGAAAUAAGUUUCCAGAAAGUGAUUGGCCCGGGGUCAGUUAGCCAGCAAUCACCCCAAUCUGUUCAACAAGGCCCAGGGUGAGGCCAGGAGUGUGACUUGUCUGGGGCUGAGCCAGGAGCUGGCUUCCAGCUGGCACCAUGGGCUCCUGUGGCCAGGUACUUGACAGGGCAGGGCAGGGGGUUAAACGGGUCUGAAACAUGUGUCCACAAAAAAUCUCCAAAUAUGUACAGGCCACCAUCUACCACAAAGGAGGGAUUUGAGAAUGUAGAGGAGAAGGACCUAAUAUUCAUUGAGCAUCCCUGUAAGCCAGGAGCUGGGCUUUGCGUGCAUUGCUUUAGUUUAAGUCCAAAAUAACAACAACGGUUUGACGAAGAUGUCAUUAAUCCCCAUCUGACUGUGGCAAGGUGAAAGGACUUCCUAGCCUCGCACAGCCAGGUCAGGUGGAGUCUCUUCUUUCUGACAUUUGCUCAAUACACCUAGGCCUUCCUCUGGCCUGGGAUGUGGAGCUUUCAUCCGCAAACUUGUCAAUCACUAGCGUUUGGGAAAAAUGAUCCAAACAAGAAAACCCUCACAAGUCUCACCAGGGUCAUUUUGUACAAAGUGAAACUCGGGAAAUUAAGAUGUCAUCGCACAGUCUUGCUGUUUCCACAGGCAAUGAUUGUAGCUACAAAUUUGUCCCAAAAUGCAGGCAAAUGGGCUUGGAGCAGUGAGGUCAUGAAGCUUAUUUACUGCUGCCAUGAUGAUAAUUUUAAUUUGCUAUUAAGAAAAUGAAGGGCUAGCAAGCGUUCAGGAUACAGAUGAUAUAGCAGUUUAGUUUUGGCUGUUCAGAGACUGGGAUGCAGGAACCUGAAAGAGAACCAGUGUGAGGUGGGAAAAGGAGAAUAGGCCUUACCAUCAAACUAGGAUUUAAUCUCUGCUCCACAAUUUCCUGGCUGUGUUACCUUCAGUACACGACGCCACCUCUCUGAGCCUCAGUCUCCUUAUCUGCAUCUCCUUAUCUGAAUCAUAACACCUACCUACUAGGUACAUUGGGUGGACUUCCAAAGAUGCUGGAUGUAAAGCUCCCAUAAAUGUUGGAUAUUAUUACUGUCAUUAUUAUUUAAAUAUACACUUAUGGAGUCACCAACAGAGCCAACCAUUUGACUUCCUGCCACUAAAAUAGCCAGAGGCCUGGCUGCACUGCUUAAUUUCAUCAAGAUGGUCUGGUGAGUCACAGCCUUAAUUAACUUUCCCAUGGUUUGAUCAGAGCAGAAAUCAGACUCUUGCAUUUCACCCACUCUUCCUGGCUCCAAAAAAGAUGGACGUGCACAUCCUUAUCCACCAUUCUGACUGUACAAAGACAAGAAAAUUAUCCAGUAGACACAGGAGUGCACGCACAGCCAGCCUGCAAGGCCACAGAGACAUCGCCACAGAGCAUUAGAGCAAGAGCCUGGAACCUAAUGAAAUUAUCUUCCCUCAGCCGAUCUGCCUGCCGCAGCUGCAAAUUGGGUCCCCUGUUUGUGUGCUUAUUCAACUGUGACCCCGUAGCCCUGGCAGGAUGAAUGGGGCCUCACAACCGAGGGUGGGGCGUCAGCCCAGGGGUGUCUUCCUUUAUGCAAAGCUCUUCUUUGAGGGGCUAUGGACAAACCACAUGGCUGGAGGUGAGCUUCAGAUCUGGGCUGCUUCCUGGACACAGAAAAUAAAGCAGGACAGGAGAUGCAGAGAGCAUGGAAUGCUCUUCACUACAGGCUCCGUGGAAGGAACUCGCAUCAGGCCAGCUGAGAAAGCCAGUUUGACAUUCACCUGUGGCAGACCUGGGUUUUGACUGAACCGCUUGCUCCUUGAGGCCCGAGGCCCUGAGGACUCAUCUCUAUAGCCCCUGCAUCUGGCCAGGACUUGGUUGCAGUAGGUGCUUGAUAAACCUAUGCUAAGUAUAAAAUGCCACCUAACUUGUUUCGCUCAUCUUAUCUUUAUUACACUUUCCUCUUUUUCCAGAAAUGACUUCUGGCAACUGACAGGCUCCACGUUGAGUGUUCACACUGUGCCCAAUUCUGCCCUGAGCACUUUGCUUGGUUUCUCCACAACAAUAUUGUGAUCAGUAUAAUUACUGUUAUUCCCAUUUUAUAGAUGAGAAAAAUAGUAAUGGAGGAAAUGGAAGGAAAAAGGAUGGCCAUAAGUUGGAGGCAGGUGAAAGACCCAAAUUCAUGGAAGAGAAGUGAGUCACACAGGGAGCCAGUGGCAGAGCCACACCCCACAGAGCAAUCAACAUGCUCUACUCUGCAGACCUGCAACAGGGAGGGAAGCCAGACUCUGAUGCAAGAAGGAAAGACCAUGUGCUGGCUCAGUGUGUGCAGCCUGGACUGAGCUACUGAACUCUAAAUCCAAGGAUGACUAAUAGGCAGAAUGACAUUAAUACCAGACCUGAUGAAGACAGCACAAAAAGUAAAUCUCAACACAACCUCACAAUAUUAAUAAAGCAAAAAUUUUAAAUACA
rnacentral:lncRNA from 1 species